CAGCAGCCACGGGAACACGAAGGGUGCAAGCGUUACUCGGAAUUACUGGGCGUAAAGGGCUCGCAGGCGGUUUCUUAAGUCUGAUGUGAAAGCCCCCGGCUCAACCGGGGAGGGUCAUUGGAAACUGGGAAACUUGAGUGCAGAAGAGGAGAGUGGAAUUCCACGUGUAGCGGUGAAAUGCGUAGAGAUGUGGAGGAACACCAGUGGCGAAGGCGACUCUCUGGUCUGUAACUGACGCUGAGGAGCGAAAGCGUAGGGAGCGAACAGGAUUAGAUACCCGCGUAGUCCCUGUCUCUUAUAC
rnacentral:rRNA from 1 species